rnacentral:rRNA from 1 species
AUUGAACGCUGGCGGCAUGCUUUACACAUGCAAGUCGAACGGCAGCGCGGGCUUCGGCCUGGCGGCGAGUGGCGAACGGGUGAGUAAUGCAUCGGAACGUGCCCAGUAGUGGGGGAUAGCCCGGCGAAAGCCGGAUUAAUACCGCAUACGACCUGAGGGUGAAAGCGGGGGACCGAAAGGCCUCGCGCGAUUUGAGCGGCCGAUGUCGGGUUAGCUAGUUGGUGGGGUAAAGGCUUACUAAGGCGACGAUCCGUAGCUGGUCUGAGAGGACGACCAGCCACCCUGGGACUGAGCCACGGCCAAGACUCCUACGGGAGGCAGCAGUGGGGAAUUGUGGACAAUGGGGGCAACCCUGAUCCAGCCAUGCCGCGUGCGGGAAGAAGGCCUUCGGGUUGUAAACCGCUUUUGUUCGGGAAGAAAUCCUCUGGGCUAAUACCCCGGGGGGAUGACGGUACCGGAAGAAUAAGCACCGGCUAACUACGUG